GAGCGUAAGCGAUGAGGGCGAGAGAGAGACAUUGAGAGCGUUGGAGAGACGAUCGUGAGCGAUUGGGAAUGAGAUUGAGAGAGGCGAGUACGUUUGAGAGAAGGUUAGGACGAGAGACGGCAAACGCGUUUGAGAGAGGGUUCUGGCGAGAGAGGUUGAGUUUCGUUGAGAGUGAGAUUGAGGGUAACUGAGGACGAUGACUAUGUGAUUACAAUAAUUUUUCAUUUUCUUUUUUUUGGUUCCCUUUUAUUUAUUCCUUUUUAUUUAUUUAUUUUAGUAAGAACAACUUUGAAACCAUUACUUUUUCUACGUUUAAACUUCCUAGAUUUUCAUUU
rnacentral:lncRNA from 1 species